UACGGAGGGUGCAAGCGUUGCUCGGAAUUAUUGGGCGUAAAGGGUAGGUAGGUGGUCUCGUUUGUCUAGGGUGAAAGCCUUGAGCUUAACUCAAGAAGUGCCCUAGAAACGGCGAGACUAGAGUCCUGGAGAGGGUCGUGGAAUUCCCGGUGUAGCGGUGAAAUGCGUAGAGAUCGGGAGGAACACCAGAGGCGAAAGCGGCGACCUGGACAGGUACUGACACUCAACUACGAAAGCGUGGGGAGCAAACAGG
rnacentral:rRNA from 1 species